UGUGUACUCCCUCCGUUCCAAAAUACUUGACUUCCAUUUGUCCAAAAAUGGAUGUACCUAUAUACUAAAACAUGUCUAGAUUCAUAUAUAUUUUGACAAAUAGAAGGCAUGUAUUGUGCAACGGAGGGAGUAGAAU
rfam:Triticum aestivum genome assembly, contig: Triticum_aestivum_CS42_TGACv1_scaffold_112629_2AS